rnacentral:rRNA from 1 species
GACGAACGCUGGCGGCGUGCCUAAUACAUGCAAGUUGAGCGAUGAAGAUUGGUGCUUGCACCAAUUUGAAGAGCAGCGAACGGGUGAGUAACGCGUGGGGAAUCUGCCUUUGAGCGGGGGACAACAUUUGGAAACGAAUGCUAAUACCGCAUAACAACUUUAAACAUAAGUUUUAAGUUUGAAAGAUACAAUUGCAUCACUCAAAGAUGAUCCCGCGUUGUAUUAGCUAGUUGGUGAGGUAAAGGCUCACCAAGGCGAUGAUACAUAGCCGACCUGAGAGGGUGAUCGGCCACAUUGGGACUGAGACACGGCCCAAACUCCUACGGGAGGCAGCAGUAGGGAAUCUUCGGCAAUGGACGAAAGUCUGACCGAGCAACGCCGCGUGAGUGAAGAAGGUUUUCGGAUCGUAAAACUCUGUUGGUAGAGAAGAACGUUGGUGAGAGUGGAAAGCUCAUCAAGUGACGGUAACUACCCAGAAAGGGACGGCUAACUACGUA